rnacentral:rRNA from 1 species
GAUGAACGCUGGCGGCGUGCUUAACACAUGCAAGUCGAACGGAAAGGCCGAAGCUUGCUUCGGUACUCGAGUGGCGAACGGGUGAGUAACACGUGGGUGAUCUGCCCUGUACUUCGGGAUAAGCUUGGGAAACUGGGUCUAAUACCGGAUAUGACGAUCUCUUGGAUGGGGUUGUGGAAAGCUUUUGCGGUAUGGGAUGAGCUCGCGGCCUAUCAGCUUGUUGGUGGGGUAAUGGCCUACCAAGGCGUCGACGGGUAGCCGGCCUGAGAGGGUGUACGGCCACAUUGGUACUGAGAUACGGCCCAGACUCCUACGGGAGGCAGCAGUGGGGAAUAUUGCACAAUGGGCGCAAGCCUGAUGCAGCGACGCCGCGUGGGGGAUGACGGCCUUCGGGUUGUAAACUCCGUUCGCAAUCGACGAAGCCUUUUGGUGACGGUAGGUUGAGAAGAAGCACCGGCUAACUACGU